GGAGUCUGGACCGUGUCUCAGUUCCAAUGUGGGGGACCUUCCUCUCAGAACCCCUACCCAUCGUCGGUUUGGUGGGCCGUUACCCCGCCAACUGCCUAAUGGGACGCGAGCCAAUCCGAUACCGAUAAAUCUAUUAAACAAAGAUCAUGCGGUCUCUGUUGUUACGGAGUAUUACACGACGUUUCCAUCGACUAUCCUCCAGUAUCGGGCAUGUUGCUCACGCGUUACUCACCCGUGCGCCGGUCGCCAUCAAAGGAAGCAAGCUUCCUUCAUGCUGCCCCUCGACUUGCAUGUGUUAAGCCUGUAGCUAGCGUUCAUC
rnacentral:rRNA from 1 species